rnacentral:rRNA from 1 species
GAGUUUGAUCGUGGCUCAGGACGAACGCUGGCGGCGUGCUUAACACAUGCAAGUCGAACGGGGUGCCUAUGAAAGAGAUUUCGGUCAAUGGAUUAGGUUACUUAGUGGCGGACGGGUGAGUAACGCGUGAGGAACCUGCCUUUCAGAGGGGGACAACAGCUGGAAACGGCUGCUAAUACCGCAUGACACAUAUUUAUCGCAUGGUAGAUAUGUCAAAGAUUUAUCGCUGAGAGAUGGCCUCGCGUCUGAUUAGCUAGUUGGUAGGGUAACGGCCUACCAAGGCGACGAUCAGUAGCCGGACUGAGAGGUUGGCCGGGCCACAUUGGGACUGAGAUACGGCCCAGACUCCUACGGGAGGCAGCAGUGGGGAAUAUUGGGCAAUGGGCGCAAGCCUGACCCAGCAACGCCGCGUGAAGG